rnacentral:rRNA from 1 species
CAAUAGCGUAUAUUAAAGUUGUUGCAGUUAAAAAGCUCGUAGUUGGAUUUGUGGUGUGUCCAGUCGGCCUUUGCUCUCUGAGUGAUUGUGCUGUACUGGUCUGCCAUGUUUGGGUGGAAUCUGUGUGGCAUUAAGUUGUCGUGCAGGGGAUGCCCAUCGUUUACUGUGAAAAAAUUAGAGUGUUCAAAGCAGGCUUAUGCCGUUGAAUAUAUUAGCAUGGAAUAAUGAUAUAGGACCUUGGUACUAUUUUGUUGGUUUGCGCACUAAGGUAAUGAUUAAGAGGGACAGUUGGGGGUAUUUGUAUUCCAUUGUCAGAGGUGAAAUUCUUAGAUUUUUGGAAGACAAACUACUGCGAAAGCAUUUACCGAGGAUGUUUUCAUUAA